UGUGGUAAGAAUCAGUUGAUAGAUUAAAAAUCCGUCGUAGUCGGUCCACAUAAUCUGGUAGAUGCCAUCGAUCAACCAUCGAUCCACCAUCGGGAAUGAAGCUUAUUUCAAUCAUAGGCAUCGUCUUGUGUCUGUCUGGAGUUGCACCACAUAGGAUAAAAGAUCCGAUGUGUGCUCUAAGAAUGGAACAAAAUGGCAUUGAAAGGGGCUGUACGACCACUGCAGGGGUGAUGCGUUAUACCUAUCAUCUGAAGAGGAAUCGGUGCAAAAAGUUUAAAUUCUAUGGAUGUAAUGGGAACAAUAAUAAUUUCCCAAGCCGAUUCCUUUGCGAAUUAAUAUGCAAAAUUUCUUUUUUAAAAACAGACUAGCCCUAAAGUUUUCGUGUACCGGGUAUAAUAAAUACUAUAGAUCGAGACCGAUUUGGUCGAGGAGUUUCGGAG